rnacentral:lncRNA from 1 species
UGUGACAUCAAGACAAGUACGUAGGUGCUCAAUAGAGAAUGAGUUCACUGAACACGAUCAACGAAGAGUACUCAUAUUCAUGUCACAUGAGAACUCAUGGUUGGGAUAAUGCAAAGUAGUCCUUUGACCUGAGGCAUCACAGUUGUCUUGUGGUUAAGUCUUUGAUCUUUGAUUAUGUCCAAAGUCACCCCAUCGGGGUGUCCACGGCAUCGUUGGG